AGCAGAUUCUGAUGGGAAAGAAGCCCUUGCAAGCAGCAGAGUGAUCUUCCACAGUCCGUGACUACGACCAGGACACGAAGAGAAGUCAGCAAGCAGCCUGCAACAAGAGAGAGAAACUGCCUCACUAGAACUCUGAUCAGUCUGAUCUCAGAUCUCCAGCCUCCACAACGCUUCACACAGAUGGAUCUGGUCAUUGUUUUGGAAAGCACGUAUUGAAGAUAGCAGAGCCACACCAUGGGAACACACCAGGUCCCAGAAAGUCUGCGCUGCUAAUGAGGAACAUAAAUUUGGGGAUUUAUAUAGUCCCCUGACAGUACCUGCAAGCGCCAAUCAGUGGUGUCAUCACAUCCUACAUGACUGAAGGAACGUCCUCAUG